rnacentral:rRNA from 1 species
CAAUAGCGUAUAUUAAAGUUGUUGCGGUUAAAAAGCUCGUAGUUGGAUUUCUGUUGGGAACGACCGGUCCGCCCAUUGGGUGUGUAUCUGGCUUGUUCUCGGCAUCUUCUUGGUGAACGUUGCUGCACUUGACUGUGUGGAGCGCUACCCAGGACUUUUACUUUGAGGAAAUUAGAGUGUUUCAAGCAGGCAUAUGCCUUGAAUACAUCAGCAUGGAAUAAUAAGAUAGGACCUCGGUUCUAUUUUGUUGGUUUCUAGAGCUGAGGUAAUGAUUAAUAGGGAUAGUUGGGGGCAUUCGUAUUUAACUGUCAGAGGUGAAAUUCUUGGAUUUGUUAAAGGCGGACUACUGCGAAAGCAUUUGCCAAGGAUGUUUUCAUUGA